rnacentral:tRNA from 1 species
GCUCUUGUCGUCCAACGGAGAGGACACCGGCCUACGAAACCGGGAAUCGGGGUUCGAGUCCCCGCAUGAGCAC